AGUCUUGGAUACAGCGGGGUCUGAGUUUAGACCCAACAUUUUUUGGUCCUUCGGAGCCGGAGCCUAACACAUUGCAUCCACCGAGGAGAGGGAGAGGACGCCACCGCAACGUCUGGGAUGAUUGACGUAAAGCCCUGGUGUUUUUGGCUUGCCACCAGGCCGGGAAGUUUGCGCCUGACCUCCCCUCGGGAUGGAUGACGAUUGACGGGAUCCAGAGACUCUUCCCAUGAACGUAAACAAACAAUGUCGUGAGGUGCCAUGAUGAGAAGGAGAGACUGAGAGGAUCGUCCACAAGAUGGAAGCUGAGGCCUGGAGGGAGUCUUCAGGAGGAUCGGAGAUCACCUUCAGCACAGAGAGCUGUGCUACUGGGCUUCCAAAGGAUUGUCACAAGGAGACUUUCAGCGUUGGAAAAUGGAACCUGAGGGAGCGUGCCAAGCUCCAAAAAGUGACAGCGCAGAGGAGGUCCAGCGAUGGACUUGUGGUUCUGUGAACAGCACAAAUGCCAGGUGACUGUAAAAUAACUAACAGCACUUUUUCCACAAGUGAAGCCAGUAACUUACUAUCCUAAAAGAUUAGCUCUAGUUGCUCGUGCUUUACCUCCAUGCGUGAGAUCAGUAUGUGCAGCAGCUUAAGCUGUACAAUGUUUCAAUAGUUUAUUUCACCUUUUGCAAUUGUUAGUUCCACACGAGGUAGAUGUCUACUACUGCAGACUAAACUUACAUUUCUGUCACCUACAAGACACUUGUCUUUAAUGUUACUGUUACUCUCACAACCACACAUACUACCAUAAAGUGGUGCAGAAUUCUGAAUCUGUCCAACCCUUUUUGCCAACGGAGGAGGGCACUUCUCAUGAGUGUAGAGAGCGCGAGGAGAAGACGUGUAAGCUGAGGGAUGACUUAAUAGAUGUGCCACUCGUUGAGGGAAAGGUUUGGUUUGUUGAUGAUUUGAGUUUUACAACAGCAGAGGGACAGACUAGAACACGUUUUACUGUAGCUGACAGUGAGAGAGAGUUAUCUAUGUAGGACAACUAGCAUGUUUCAUAUUUGCUUGAGCAGCAGAGAUGCUAGCUUUAACGGAAGCGUGUAAAGCUGUAGAGAGACAAUAUACACUGAUAGGUAGUAUACAUUUGCUACUGUACAUUUCUUUGUAGUGCAGUGAGUGAGACGAGGUGUGACAACCUCUACAGGGAAACCUGCAGAACACACCAAACUCUUGCAAAUUCUGCUGGAUGCAGCGUUAUUAACCAGUGGAAUUGCCGUUUGUAAAUGUGCAGCACACAUGUGAGGGAAAGAUCCGGUUGCAUUAGGGGAAGUUUUUGCAGAUAAGAUCGCAAAAGAGGCAGCUUUAGUUAAACAUGGUGUUAACCUUUUAUCAGUACAGCAUUAGCAGACAUGCAGGCCCACUCACCUACUGCAGGACAAUAGUUGUGACUUACAGAGGGAGCAAGCUUGCAGGAUGAUUUUUUUAUCUGUGUGAUAAACCAGUACUGCCUAAUAAUUUGUAUAAGACUGCUGCUAUUUUGAGCCAUUGGCUAUGCCAUGUCUCAAACAGGAGGGAGAUGAGCAGUCGUUAUACUCACUCUAGGAUUAUUAAAUACUUUAAAAAAAAAACUUUUGCAGACAGUAAAGUUAAGAUUUAGGAAGACAGGCAGGACAUGGUUAGACUGUAUAGAAUAAGUACAUGAGGAUUACUCCAACAGAGAAUGGUCUGACUCUUUGAGAUUACACAUGUUAGAGCAUUUAGAGUUCCAGUCUUCUGUAGUGAUGAUAGAAAAGCAGAAGAGAGAGCAUAUUAGCAGAUUAGAUGCUUGAAAAUGUUUAAAAGUAAAGUAGUCAUGAGAACAAAUGAUCUGCCAGAUGAUUCUGUUUCUUCGCAGGAGCAGAGCCUGAAGUCUGGAGAUUGGAUGAUGAUAAGGCCAUGGAGAGGAAGUGCUGGUCCAGUCCAUGGUGGGAAGGUCCAUAUCGGAUGCUGCUGACGACGACCACAGCAGUGAAGAUUGCUGGAAGGAACACUUGGAUACAUCAAGCGCACUGCAAGAAGGUGACACACAUCCAGGCCAGCUCGGAGUAAGUGGCAGGAAGACCGGGAACAAAGGGGGGGGAAAGCCUCCAGGGCCCCUCGUCUCAAUCCGGUGAAGAAACCAACUGAGCCACAGGUACUCAUCAGAAUGGCUGGGAAUGUGCUGUGCAUCUUCUUGUGCCUGUGGACCCUGAGUGGGAUGACAGGAGCGCAUUGGGACAGAGCAAAUCACACCCAGUACCCGCAUGGGUUUUCAACCAACUACUGGUGGCAGUUUAAGAACACAACCGGAUAGCAUCACUUGGAGCGAGACAGUUUGUUUGGUUGCUUUAGCAACACAUCCAGGAACACUGCCAACUUUUCAACUGCUCUGAACCUGAAUGGAAGGUUGAUUCACCAGUAGCUGGGAAGGUGAACUGCUCUGGUGAGACAGACCUGCUCGUCUGACUCAAAGAAUAUGACUUGUUGCAGGACAUUAUACAGUUAAACGAACUGGAAACAGGCCAAUUGCCUAUGUGUACGAAGGACAAUGGAUUAGCCCAAGUUGGAGAUUAACCAUGGAACAUGGUAACAUCACUUAUUCUUUUGUCUUUUGCAAGAAGGAUGUAAACAGAGAAGCCUUUUGUCUACAUUUACAUCAUGAACACUUGAGGUUUUGAGCCAAGAAGAUCAAAACAGCUUGAUCCAAUUUCCUUUACAAAGCUUUUUCUGUGGUGACAACAGGACAGGAGAAGAGUUGUAAAUGCAGAUAAUUCACCAGUUGACUCUAACCCCCACAGGAUGCCUACAGUGAGAAGAUUUGGGGGGUUGAUAGGAGUCAUAAAGAAGGGUGUUGACCAGGCUGCAGCUUUGAAGUUAGCUGAGAGCCAUAUGGACAAACAAUAAAGUCAACUGAUGCGUUUAAAUACCUAUGUCUGUAUACAGUUGGAUUGUAGAGACAUAUGAUUUUUGAGAAUGAUGAUUCUUCUUGUUUGACCUUUGACAUUCAGUUGUGUACUUGAAGAAAUACAUAAUGAAUUGCACGACAGGAGUAGAUCCGCCACAAGGCUGGAUAGCUUGGUUACUGUCUGGUCCUUGGUGGCAUCUUCUUUUGAAAAUAUUAAUUCCUGUUUUUGAACUGUUGAUACUGAUUUGCUUAUGUAUAGGAUGUAGUUUACUGUGCAUGAAUGAAAUCUACACUGACACUGUCUAAACAAAGGGUGCAUAAGUUGAAAUUUAAGAACAAUGACAAAAAGGAGGGAAAUGUUAAGUCUAAUUGUUGAAUGUUGCCAUUGUGUUUCUUAAAUUUGUACAGUCUUAGUUUAAGCAGUAGGAUCAAAGCCAUUCCUUUGAUCCUGACCACCUCUCCAGCCACUCUGUGCUGGGGGAGGUUUUAUUGUAGAUACAUCCUAACUUGAAGAUCUGUUUGAUGUUUGGUAGAGCUUCCUACCCUUUGUAUGGUUUCACUGUGUUAUCUUUGGUAAACCAUACAUUGGGUGUGGGGGAAGACUACCCUCUUUAUGACCAAGGAUGUUGUUCCUGCUUUUAGGUUUUAUGACCCUUUGAUCAAACACACACACACACACACACACACACACACACACACACACACACACACACACACACACACACACACACACACACACACACAUACAUUCUCACAUAACACCCACACACACACACUUACAUACAGUGCCUUGUCUUUGUAACCAAAGGGGGGUUGCAAGGGGAGGUGUUUUGUAAACUAUUGUUUGAAGUUUGUCAAUAAAAGGCAGCGAGAGGAGGCCAUCAUCGGGGUUCAUUGUCGUGCUGGACACAGAUGAGGGGGCCUCCCUUGCGCAAGAAAUCGAUCGAACACUGUUGCCUUGUUUUUCUUUCAUGGGAAUAAGUCUUGGAUACAGCGGGGUCUGAGUUUAGACCCAACAAAAGCUUACCACAAAACGGAGAAGUUAUGACAAAUCAGACUAUAAGGCAAAAAGAAAGUGCAGCUUUAUGGUUUCAUGGACAAAAGAAUUUCUGUGGCUGCGAUAUGAUGAGCUAAAUAACCAGGGCUGCACAUAAGUGGUCCGCAGGUGCGCAUUCGCUGUCAAAAUAAAAAACACGCACAAGGGUUAGGGUUAAAUUUAAAAACUGUACUUUUGAGUUAAAAUAUAUAUUUAUAAUUUUAAUAAAUGACAAAUUAAAAAGGCAU
ensembl:lncRNA